rnacentral:lncRNA from 1 species
UUGAGUUAGGGUUUAUAUUUCCUUUUAGUGUUUAGUGAUUAGUGUUAUGAGUUUAGUUUGUGGAAGUUUUAGGUUAAUGUUGGGGUACGAAUUACUUCAUUCUUUGCAAUCAUAGAAAAUUCAAAAUUUAAACAAUAUGUACUAUGUUAUUUCUUUUGUUACUAUUAUAUUAUGACAUUACUUCGUAUUAUGUACUAUGUGCAUAUUUUUAUAUUUGGGUUAGAGUUUAUAUUUCCUUUUAAAGUUUAGUGAUUAGUGUUUUGGUUUAGCUUACAUGAGGUUUUGAGUUGAUUUUGAGAUAAGUAUUACCUCAUUCUAUGCAAUUAUAGACAUUUUAAAAUAUGAACAAUAUGUAUUAUACUAUUUAAUAUGUUCCAUUCUAUUUAUAAUGUCUCUUUCUUCAAUCCACACUAAUUAUACUGGUGAUCACCACGAACACC